AUAGGGGAGCCGCAGGGAAACCGAGUCUUAACUGGGCGUUAAGUUGCAGGGUAUAGACCCGAAACCCGGUGAUCUAGCCAUGGGCAGGUUGAAGGUUGGGUAACACUAACUGGAGGACCGAACCGACUAAUGUUGAAAAAUUAGCGGAUGACUUGUGGCUGGGGGUGAAAGGCCAAUCAAACCGGGAGAUAGCUGGUUCUCCCCGAAAGCUAUUUAGGUAGCGCCUCGUGAAUUCAUCUUCGGGGGUAGAGCACUGUUUCGGCUAGGGGGUCAUCCCGACUUACCAACCCGAUGCAAACUACGAAUACCGAAGAAUGUUAUCACGGGAGACACACGGCGGGUGCUAACGUUCGUCGUGAAGAGGGAAACAACCCAGACCGCCAGCUAAGGUCCCAAAGUCAUGGUUAAGUGGGAAACGAUGUGGGAAGGCACAGACAGCCAGGAUGUUGGCUUAGAAGCAGCCAUCAUUUAAAGAAAGCGUAAUAGCUCACUGGUCGAGUCGGCCUGCGCGGAAGAUGUAACGGGGCUAAACCAUGCACCGAAGCUGCGGCAGCGACACUUAGGUGUUGUUGGGUAGGGGAGCGUUCUGUAAGCCGUUGAAGGUGGCCUGUGAGGGUUGCUGGAGGUAUCAGAAGUGCGAAUGCUGACAUAAGUAACGAUAAUGCGGGUGAAAAACCCGCACGCCGGAAGACCAAGGGUUCCUGUCCAACGUUAAUCGGGGCAGGGUGAGUCGACCCCUAAGGCGAGGCUGAAAAGCGUAGUCGAUGGGAAACAGGUUAAUAUUCCUGUACUCGGUGUUACUGCGAAGGGGGGACGGAGAAAGCUAGGUUAUCCGGGCGACGGUUGUCCCGGUUUAAGCGUGAAGGUGGGUGACUUAGGUAAAUCCGGGUCAUCGUUAACACUGAGGCGUGAUGACGAGUCACUACGGUGAUGAAGUAACCAAUGCUACGCUUCCAGGAAAAGCCUCUAAGCUCCAGGUAACAUCAAAUCGUACCCCAAACCGACACAGGUGGUCAGGUAGAGAAUACUCAGGCGCUUGAGAGAACUCGGGUGAAGGAACUAGGCAAAAUGGUGCCGUAACUUCGGGAGAAGGCACGCUGGCGCGUAGGUGAAGUCCCUUGCGGAUGGAGCUGAAGCCAGUCGCAGAUACCAGCUGGCUGCAACUGUUUAAUAAAAACACAGCACUGUGCAAACACGAAAGUGGACGUAUACGGUGUGACGCCUGCCCGGUGCCGGAAGGUUAAUUGAUGGGGUCAGCCGCAAGGCGAAGCUCUUGAUCGAAGCCCCGGUAAACGGCGGCCGUAACUAUAACGGUCCUAAGGUAGCGAAAUUCCUUGUCGGGUAAGUUCCGACCUGCACGAAUGGCGUAAUGAUGGCCAGGCUGUCUCCACCCGAGACUCAGUGAAAUUGAACUCGCUGUGAAGAUGCAGUGUACCCGCGGCAAGACGGAAAGACCCCGUGAACCUUUACUAUAGCUUGACACUGAACCUUGAGCCUUGAUGUGUAGGAUAGGUGGGAGGCUUUGAAGUGUGGACGCCAGUCUGCAUGGAGCCAACCUUGAAAUACCACCCUUUAAUGUUUGAUGUUCUAACGUAGGCCCGUAAUCCGGGUUGCGGACAGUGUCUGGUGGGUAGUUUGACUGGGGCGGUCUCCUCCCAAAGCGUAACGGAGGAGCACGAAGGUUAGCUAAUCCUGGUCGGACAUCAGGAGGUUAGUGCAAAGGCAUAAGCUAGCUUGACUGCGAGAGUGACAGCUCGAGCAGGUGCGAAAGCAGGUCUUAGUGAUCCGGUGGUUCUGAAUGGAAGGGCCAUCGCUCAACGGAUAAAAGGUACUCCGGGGAUAACAGGCUGAUACCGCCCAAGAGUUCAUAUCGACGGCGGUGUUUGGCACCUCGAUGUCGGCUCAUCACAUCCUGGGGCUGAAGUAGGUCCCAAGGGUAUGGCUGUUCGCCAUUUAAAGUGGUACGCGAGCUGGGUUUAGAACGUCGUGAGACAGUUCGGUCCCUAUCUGCCGUGGGCGUUGGAAGAUUGAGAGGGGUUGCUCCUAGUACGAGAGGACCGGAGUGAACGCACCACUGGUGUACGGGUUGUGAUGCCAAUUGCAUUGCCCGGUAGCUAAGUGCGGAAGAGAUAACCGCUGAAAGCAUCUAAGCGGGAAACUUGCCUCGAGAUGAGUCUUCCCUGGACACUUGAUGUCCCUGAAGGGCCGUUGAAGACGACGACGUAGAUAGGCUGGGUGUGUAAGCGUAGCGAUACGUUGAGCUAACCAGUACUAAUGACCCGAGAGGCUUAACCUUACAACACCGAAGGUGUUU
rnacentral:rRNA from 1 species